rnacentral:rRNA from 1 species
CGUAAGGCGCCGAAUGAGUCAUUAAAAAAUUAACAUCAUCCGAUCCCUAGUCGGCAUAGUUUAUGGUUAAGACUACGACGGUAUCUGAUCGUCUUCGAUCCCCUAACUUUCGUUCUUGAUUAAUGAAAACAUCCUUGGCAAAUGCUUUCGCAGUAGUUUAGUCUUCAAUAAAUCCAAGAAUUUCACCUCUGACAAUUGAAUACUAAUGCCCCCAACUAUCCCUAUUAAUCAUUACGUUGAUCCUAGAAACCAACAAAAUAGGUUCAAACGUCCUAUUUCAUUAUUCCAUGCUAAUGUAUUCAAGCGCGAGCCUGCUUUAAACACUCUAA